rnacentral:rRNA from 1 species
AACCAGACUCCUACGGGAGGCAGCAGUGGGGAAUAUUGCACAAUGGGGGAAACCCUGAUGCAGCGACGCCGCGUGAGUGAAGAAGUAAUUCGUUAUGUAAAGCUCUAUCAGCAGGGAAGAAAAUGACGGUACCUGAAGAAGAAGCCCCGGCUAACUACGUGCCAGCAGCCGCGGUAAUACGUAGGGGGCAAGCGUUAUCCGGAUUUACUGGGUGUAAAGGGGGCGCAGACGGCGAUGCAAGCCAGGAGUGAAAGCCCGGGGCCCAACCCCGGGACUGCUCUUGGAACUGCGUGGCUGGAGUGCAGGAGAGGUAAGCGGAAUUCCUAGUGUAGCGGUGAAAUGCGUAAAUAUUAGGAGGAACACCAGUGGCGAAGGCGGCUUACUGGGCUUUAACUGACGCUGAGGCUCGAAAGCGUGGGUAGCAAACAGGAUUAGAUACCCUUGUA